CACCACUCAAGCCUGGCUUGGUAUUGGGCGCCGCGGUUCGUCCGCGCGCCUCAACGUCUCCGGCUGAGCCGUCCGUCUCUAAGCGUUGUGGUAAAACGUCCGCUUGCGAGAUUGGAGGGCGCUGGCCGUUAAACCUCUUUCUACA
rnacentral:misc_RNA from 1 species